GACAGAGGGGGCAAGCGUUGCUCGGAAUCACUGGGCGUAAAGGGCGCGUAGGCGGGAUGGCAAGUCAGUCGUGAAAUCUCUCGGCUCAACCGAGAAACGUCGGCUGAUACUGCCGUUCUUGAGGGAUGCAGAGGAGACUGGAAUUCCCGGUGUAGCGGUGAAAUGUGUAGAGAUCGGGGGGAACACCAGUGGCGAAGGCGGCGAUCUGGGAAGAUACUGACGCUGAGGUGCGAAAGCGUGGGGAGCAAACAGG
rnacentral:rRNA from 1 species